UAGGGUAACCAAAUGUCCAGUUUGCCUGGGACUGUUUCAGUUUUCACACUAAAAGUUUUACAUUCUAGAUAAGUCCUCAGUCGCAGGCAAACUGGGAUAGCUGGUUACCCUACUGGCCU
rnacentral:pre_miRNA from 1 species